rnacentral:rRNA from 1 species
GACGAACGCUGGCGGCGUGCUUAACACAUGCAAGUCGAACGGAAAGGCCCUGCUUUUGUGGGGUGCUCGAGUGGCGAACGGGUGAGUAACACGUGAGUAACCGGCCCUUGACUUUGGGAGAACAUCAGGAAACUGGGGCUACUACCGGAUAGGAUCUGCUGUUGCAUGGUGGGGGUUGGAAAGUUUCGGCUGUUGGGGAUGGACUCGCGGCUUACCAGCUUGUUGGUGGGGUAGUGGCUUACCAAGGGUUUGACGGGUAGCCCGCCUGUGAGGGUGAGCGGCAGCAUUGGGACUUAGAUGCGGCCCCGACUCCUACGGGAGGCAGCAGUGGGGAAGAUUGCACAAUGGGCGGAAGCCUGAUGCAGCAACGCCUCGUGCGGGAUGACGGCCUUCGGGUUGUAAACCGCUUUCGCCUGUGACGAAGCGUGUGUGACCGUAAUGGGUAAAGAAGCCCCGGCUAACUACCUU